rnacentral:rRNA from 1 species
AACGAACGCUGGCGGCAGGCUUAACACAUGCAAGUCGAGCGCCCCGCAAGGGGAGCGGCAGGCGGGUGAGUAACGCGUGGGAAUCUACCCAUCUCUACGGAAUAACGCAUGGAAACGUGUGCUAAUACCGUAUACGUCCUUCGGGAGAAAGAUUUAUCGGAGAUGGAUGAGCCCGCGUGGGAUUAGCUAGUUGGUGGGGUAAAGGCCUACCAAGGCUACGAUCAAUAGCUGGACUGAGAGGAUGAUCAGCCACACUGGGACUGAGACACGGCCCAGACUCCUACGGGAGGCAGCAGUGGGGAAUAUUGGACAAUGGGCGCAAGCCUGAUCCAGCCAUGCCGCGUGAGUGAUGAAGGCCCUAGGGUUGUAAAGCUCUUUCACCGGUGAAGAUAAUGACGGUAACCGGAGAAGAAGCCCCGGCUAACUUCGUGCCAGCCGCCGCCGUAAUAC